rnacentral:rRNA from 1 species
AUACGGAGGAUCCGAGCGUUAUCCGGAUUUAUUGGGUUUAAAGGGAGCGUAGGUGGACGUAUAAGUCAGUUGUGAAAGUUUGCGGCUCAACCGUAAAAUUGCAGUUGAUACUGUUAUUCUUGAGUGUACAUAAGGUAGGCGGAAUUCGUGGUGUAGCGGUGAAAUGCUUGGAUAUCACGAAGAACUCCAAUUGCGAAGGCAGCUUACCGGGGUACAACUGACGCUGAGGCACGAAAGUGUGGGUAUC